ensembl:lncRNA
UCCCUGGGUUGGGAAGAUCCCCUGGAGAAGGGAAAGGCUACCCACUCCAGGAUUCUGGCCUGGAGAAUUCCAUAGACCGUAUGUUAGCCUUAUGAGCAGCUUUCUCUUGAAUCACUUAAUUGAUGUCUUUGUGAAUCAGUUUUCUCAUCUGCAAACUGAAGGCAGAUUCUUCACCAUUAGCACCACCUGGGACACACAGACCCAUCCAACCGUGUUGCUAUGAUGACAGAAAUGCACCUCCGUAGACAGAACUUCAGAGCAUAGUCUGCCUCGGAAAGCAGUGAAUGCUGUAUCAUUGGAUCCCUACUGGCAGAGGAUUCUUAACCACCAGAGAAGUCCUGGCAAAUGAGUUAUUGAGUGAAGGAAUGCAGAGAAACAUCUGAAAGAACAAGGGAAGAAGAACAGGGCAAGGCGAAAGAUUAGACAAAGAGUGGAGCCACCACCUGACCCCACGAGGAUCUCUAGAGCAUUGGUUGUAUCACAAGUUUUCCCAGCACCAGGAAAGGAGGCUGGGCACUGGACUCACACAUCACUCAGGCAUCAGUGCUAAUUACGAGCGGACAUAGAACGCUUCCUCUGACAAAGACACGGGAGCCUGGCACCAAGGUUUCUCCCACAUCCCUGUGUGUUCACCACGUCUGGAUGGAGCUCUGGUCAACCUUUGCAAAGCCGAUGUACCCGCUCCAAAGAAGGUUUGCCAGGAGUCAGACAAAGAUGGUCACUUGGCCUCUCCAGGAAGCUUUCUACUUGGGCUGGAACCAUGGCUGGGUCUGGACUCUUAGCUGCGUAGUUCUCAGAUAGAAAAAGGAAGAACCAUCUUUUCAAGCUCCAGCUCCCAAAACCGCAGGAAAGGACCAUGAGCCCGCCUACAUUGGGGUCACAUGACCACCUCUGGGCCAGUCACUGGCCUCCAGAGCAUGGAGCAUUCUGAUUGGCCAGCUUGUGUCAGGUGUUUGGACUUGAGUUGGGAGGUGAUGCUGUUCCAUUUGAUCUUAUGACAGAGCUUUCUGCUCCAACAAGGAAGCAAAACAAACACAUCCCUGGGGAACAUUGAUGAACCAGGCUGUCCUCCCCAACACAGUUUCUACCUCAAGUGUCCAGCAU